rnacentral:rRNA from 1 species
GACGAACGCUGGCGGCGUGCUUAACACAUGCAAGUCGAACGGAAAGGCCCUGCUUUUGUGGGGUGCUCGAGUGGCGAACGGGUGAGUAACACGUGAGUAACCUGCCCUUGACUUUGGGAUAACUUCAGGAAACUGGGGCUAAUACCGGAUAGGAGCUCCUGCUGCAUGGUGGGGGUUGGAAAGUUUCGGCGGUUGGGGAUGGACUCGCGGCUUAUCAGCUUGUUGGUGGGGUAGUGGCUUACCAAGGCUUUGACGGGUAGCCGGCCUGAGAGGGUGACCGGCCUCAUGGGGCCUGAGGUACGGCGCAGACUCCAACGGGAGGCAGCAGGGGGGAAUAUUGCACAAUGAGCGGAAGCCUGAGGCAGCAACGCCGCGUGCGGGAUGACGGCCUUCGGGUUGAAAACCGCUUUCGCCUGUGACGAAGCGUGAGUGACGGUAAUGGGUAAAAAAGCACCGGCUAACUACGUG